rnacentral:rRNA from 1 species
AUUGAACGCUGGCGGCAGGCUUAACACAUGCAAGUCGAGCGAGCGGCGGACGGGUGAGUAAUGUCUGGGAAACUGCCUGAUGGAGGGGGAUAACUACUGGAAACGGUAGCUAAUACCGCAUACCAUCAGCUGAGCCCAGAUGGUAUUAGCUAGUAGGUGGGGUAAUGGGUCACCUAGGCGACGAGCCCUACCUGGUCUGCGAGGAUGACCAUCCACACUGGAACUGAGACACUGUCCAGACGCCUACGGUAGGCAGCAGUGGGGAAUAUUGCACAAUGGGCGCAAGCCUGAUGCAGCCAGUCCGCGUGUGUGAAGAAGGCCUUCGGGUUGUAAAGCACUUUCAGCGAGGAGGCGUUACUCGCAGAAGAAGCACCGGCUAACUCCGUGCCAGCAGCCGCGGUAAUUC